rnacentral:rRNA from 1 species
UACGGAGGGUGCAAGCGUUGUCCGGAUUCAUUGGGUUUAAAGGGUGCGCAGGCGGGACAUUAAGUCAGGGGUGAAAGACGGUUGCUCAACAAUCGCAGUGCCUUUGAUACUGGUGUUCUUGGGUAACCUUGAGGUAGGCGGAAUGGGUGGUGUAGCGGUGAAAUGCAUAGAUACCACCCAGAACUCCGAUUGCGAAGGCAGCCUACUGGAGGUCAACCGACGCUCAGGCACGAAAGCGUGGGGAGCAAACAGG